rnacentral:rRNA from 1 species
UACGUAGGGCGCAAGCGUUGUCCGGAAUUAUUGGGCGUAAAGAGCUCGUAGGCGGCCAGUUGCGUCUGCUGUGAAAUCCCGGGGCUCAACCCCGGGCGUGCAGUGGAUACGGGCUGGCUAGAGGCAGGCAGGGGAGAACGGAAUUCCCGGUGUAGCGGUGAAAUGCGCAGAUAUCGGGAGGAACACCGGUGGCGAAGGCGGUUCUCUGGGCCUGUACUGACGCUGAGGAGCGAAAGCGUGGGGAGCGAACAGGA